CGUUGGCUUUCCUCCCUCCCAGCCUCCGUGUCUCCUCCCUCGGCCCUCAGUGACGAUAGUGCCCCCUCUUCAGCAUGACACUGAGGCCCCCCAGUGGCCUGGCCCCUGCCUCCUUUCCAGCCAUUAUUUCCUCCCUCAGUCUGCCCUUCAGAAACACUGCACUGCCCCCAGGCACGCUGCCUGGGCCUUGGUCUCUGUGCUCCCACUGGACCUCAGCUGUCAAGGACCUUCUCACCUUCCUCUGGGCUGGCUACACAUUCGUCAUCAUUUAAGAGUCACCUCCUCCAGGAAGCCUGUGUGAGCCCCAGGGAUGCCUAAAUGCGGGACUCUGGGGCCCUUCACCUUCUGUCCUCAGCAUAACCGUGAAGGGACUGUCUGAGAAGGCAUCUUCCGAGCGCUCAGGGACAGCUAUGGGUUGACCGUGUCAUUCUGAUAUCAUCAGUGUCAAGUGCCAGUAGGACAUUCACUAACAUUUAUAGGCACCUACUAGGUGCUAGGUGCUGGGCCAAGCUUCUGACCAGCAUCCAUUCAUUUAAUCCUCCCAAUAGCCCUGGUUUGGAGAUAACUAUCAUCAUCCCGCUGUUGGAGGAAACAGCCCCUUCCUUUGCCAUGCUAACAGGGACAGGAGGGCAGCUCCCGUUUGAAGCCGGCUUCAAAGCUACAUUCCCAGCUGGGUGGAACUGGCACAAACUGGCUACUCCGAGAGAGCCAUUGGGCAGGACAAAGAGGACGCCGGGAGACGUGCCUGGUGCGGAGAGCCUGCGAUUAGGCUGUGAGUGGGACUGACUGAUUGCUCUGGCUCUCAAGGAAUGUCUCUUCAAGGAGAUCCAGCUCCCCCAAGGGCACUCGGAAGACGGAGGUCAUGUGGCAAAUGAGGACUCGGGCCCGCGCAUCAUAGCGCCCUGGGAAGAGAGAAACAAGGGCAGAGAAUCAGUUUAGCUUUUAAAGAGCCGUGCAAGCCAUACAGCCCCAGGCCUGGAAACGGCCUCCAUGCACCACCCCAUGGAGGUGGUCAGCCAACCCGUGGGCCAGCCUCCUGGAUGGGAUACCGUGUAGCACUGAAAACCGCUGAUCAGAGACAAGGUGGUAUUUUCAUGAGAAUAGCAAAGAUCAAUUUUUUUUAACCCCAACGGUUUUAAGGAGGUGUUGAAAACAGUUCUCCGAACAGCGCUUGCCACAAAGAACAAAUGUUCAAUGAAUAAUUUGACGGACCUGGGAGGGAUUUGUGUGUCUAACCCUCAGCAAACAGCUCAUCCUUGCUUGGGUGGAAAAUGGAAAUGGUGAGUCACCUCACAAAGGUUUGAGGAGAGGACUCCCAGUCCACGAGAGGCCCCUAAUGAACAUUACGGAAUUAGACUCCUCCGCUGGGUGCCCGCGAUGUGGUGCCCUCCGAGCCCUGCAUCCCCAGGGGACAACAGAGACAGUGGGUUUGCUGGGUAAGGCCUCUCUCCUCCUCUGGGUAGGAUCAUCUCUUACAGUGACGAGUUACUCUUAAUUGUCAAAGUCUUGACAAUGCCUCAAAUACUCUCUCGGAGUUGCUCAUCACUCAGAUCCUUUCUCAAAUGUCACCUCCUCUGAGAAGUCCUCCCUGACUCCACUCCAUUGCUUUCUAUUCCUUUAUCAAAAGGUAUUUUCUUAUCACCUUUUAAAACUUGAUUUUUAGGGCACCUGGGUGGCUCAGUG